GACCGCGUAGCUCAGUUGGCAGAGCAUUGGGCUAGUAUUCCAAAGGUCGUAGGUUCGAUUCCCACCGUGGCN
rnacentral:tRNA from 1 species